GGGGAAUUAGCUCAGGGUUAGAGCGCUCGCUUCGCAUGCGAGAAGUCGGGGGUUCGAUUCCCUCAUCCUCCA
rnacentral:tRNA from 1 species